UACGUAGGGGGCAAGCGUUGUCCGGAUUCAUUGGGCGUAAAGAGCUCGUAGGCGGCUGUUCAAGUCGAACGUGAAAACUCGGAGCUCAACUCCGAGCCUGCGUUCGAUACUGGACGGCUAGAGUCUGGUAGGGGGAUCUGGAAUUCCUGGUGUAGCGGUGGAAUGCGCAGAUAUCAGGAAGAACACCAAUGGCGAAAGCAGCUCUCUGGGACGGUACUGACGCUGAGACGCGAAAGCGUAGGGAGCGAACAGG
rnacentral:rRNA from 1 species